rnacentral:lncRNA from 1 species
CUUUACGCUAAGCCAGCAAUCCAGUGAGGAGCAUGUUUCUCUGAGUUCAGAUCUUCAGCUAGUACACUGUUGACUAAUGGUGGUGAUAGGAGCAUCCCUGUCUUGGACCCGUGUCCCUUCCUUCUUUUUGGUGCCUGCUUCAGAAUCAGAAUAUCAAAUGGAUACAUUGACGAGGGAAAAUAUAUGCCACACUUCAGCUUCCAUAAUAUAAUGUAGGACUCUUUCUCUAAACUUCUGAGGAAUUCCUCCCAAGUUGGAAGGAUAUUCAGAUGCUGGACAAAGGAAGUAACUUGUAAUUGUCUGUAUACUAGUCUUUAUCCACAGCUAGACUCUACCAGAUCAUCCUGAUCACCAUGUAUAAAAUGUGCCUACAAGGGAAUUUAUUCUUCAUUUCAAAUUGAAACUCUAAGAGCACAUCUCCCUUCGCUGCACACAUAACAUCAGAAUUGGGGGUUCUCCAUCUUCUAAACCAUUGAUGGGAGCUCCUAUAGCUUCUUGCAGGGUCUUUAAGAAGCUAAGGCUUGGGGAUUGGAUAAGGAUGCAGAAUGGAGCAUUCUAAAGGACAACUUCCUGUUAAUGUAAGACCCCAGAAGUGACUUUUCCAGUUAUAACUUCAGUAAUUCCCUCCCUCUUCUUCCAAGGAUUUAUCUACUUCUGUGUCCACGGCGUUGCCUGGAGCAGCACCCAUGUUUUCUUCUGCCUGGUUACUGAUGAAAGGUGCUCUCAUCCUUCGACGGUUUUCUCAAGGGUUACUGCUGGCAAAAAUGAGAGAGACUUGAUGAAGAGGAUCCUGCCAUUAAAUUCACACACACACACAGGAAAUUGGAGUUGUGGCCACCUCCCAAAGCCUCUUCCCUCUGCUAGUGGAAGAGAGCUGUGGCAGGGCCCUGUGGCACCAGAUAGACUAUGAUGUAGCCGGUGUGUCUCUGCAACUGUCUUCACCAAUGGAGUAGAGGAGAAGGGAUCU